rnacentral:rRNA from 1 species
GACGUAGGGUCCAAGCGUUAUCCGGAUUUACUGGGCGUAAAGCGCGCGUAGGCGGUCUGUUAAGUGCACAAGUGAAAGCUCCGGGCUCAACUCGGAAAUUGCUUUGCAUACUGGCAGGCUGGAGGGACGCAGAGGUCUGUGGAAUUCCUGGUGUAACGGUGAAAUGUGUUGAUAUCAGGAGGAACACCCAUGGCGAAGGCAGCAGACCGGGCGUUUCCUGACGCUGAGGCGCGAAAGCGUGGGUAGCAAACAGG